CCUAAUUCUUUCCUUAUGUAUAUUGCUCCCUGCCCAUCUAUAUUUUGGAUGCUUGAAAUUUGAAGCAAAGGCUUUUAGGGUUUGGUUUUUCACAUCUUGAUUUACAUGUAGUAGACUCAGCACAGGUCCAGAGUGAAUGUAUCAGCUCUAAUAGGCUGUUUGAUUUCUGGUUCUAAAAGAUCGUGACUGUCUGAACUAAGUUAACAUUACAUGGAAGUCCUUUGACUUAAGGCCUUAAAUAUGUUCUGUUA
rnacentral:lncRNA from 1 species